CGCUUGACAAAAAAAAGAGGAAUACAUCGGAAUCUACUUUUUCGUGGGGGAUAACGUAGGGAAACUUACGCUAAUACCGCAUACGACCUACGGGUGAAAGCAGGGGAUCUUCGGACCUUGCGCUAUUGAAUGAGCCGAUGUCGGAUUAGCUAGUUGGGGGGGUAAAGGCCCACCCAGGCGACUAUCCGUAGCUGGUGUGAGAGGAUGAUAAGCCACACUGGAACUGAGACACGGUCCAGACUCCUACGGGAGGCAGCAGUGGGGAAUAUUGGACAAUGGGCGCAAGCCUGAUCCAGCCAUACCGCGUGGGUGAAGAAGGCUUUUGUGUUUUUAAGUGCUACGGCUGCCACAGAAAUCUACACUCUCAAU
rnacentral:rRNA from 1 species